CAGUAGCCGCGGUAAUACGGAGGGAGCUAGCGUUGUUCGGAAUUACUGGGCGUAAAGCGCGCGUAGGCGGUUACUCAAGUCAGAGGUGAAAGCCCGGGGCUCAACCCCGGAACUGCCUUUGAAACUAGGUGACUAGAAUCUUGGAGAGGUCAGUGGAAUUCCGAGUGUAGAGGUGAAAUUCGUAGAUAUUCGGAAGAACACCAGUGGCGAAGGCGACUGACUGGACAAGUAUUGACGCUGAGGUGCGAAAGCGUGGGGAGCAAACAGGAUUAGAGACCCCUGUAGUUCCUGUCUCUUAUAC
rnacentral:rRNA from 1 species